rnacentral:rRNA from 1 species
UGGCGAACGGGUGAGUAAUAUAUCGGAACGUGCCCAGUCGUGGGGGAUAACGCAGCGAAAGCUGUGCUAAUACCGCAUACGAUCUCUGGAUGAAAGCGGGGGACUCGCAAGAGCCUCGCGCGAUUGGAGCGGCCGAUAUCAGAUUAGCUAGUUGGUGGGGUAAAAGCCCACCAAGGCGACGAUCUGUAGCUGGUCUGAGAGGACGACCAGCCACACUGGAACUGAGACACGGUCCAGACUCCUACGGGAGGCAGCAGUGGGGAAUUUUGGACAAUGGGCGAAAGCCUGAUCCAGCAAUGCCGCGUGCAGGAUGAAGGCCUUCGGGUUGUAAACUGCUUUUGUACGGAACGAAACGGUCGCCUCUAAUACGGGUGGCUAAUGACGGUACCGUAAGAAUAAGCACCGGCUAACUACGUGCCAGCAGCCGCGGUAAUACGUAGGGUGCGAGCGUUAAUCGGAAUUACUGGGCGUAAAGCGUGCGCAGGCGGUGAUGUAAGACAGUUGUGAAAUCCCCGGGCUCAACCUGGGAAUUGCAUCUGUGAC